UCCCUGGCAGUCCAGUGGUUAGAACUCUGCACUUUCACUGCAGGGGGCACAGGUUUGAUCCCUGGCUGGGGAA
rnacentral:tRNA from 1 species